rnacentral:rRNA from 1 species
GAUGAACGCUGGCGGCGUGCCUAAUACAUGCAAGUCGAGCGAACAGACGAGGAGCUUGCUCCUCUGACGUUAGCGGCGGACGGGUGAGUAACACGUGGAUAACCUACCUAUAAGACUGGGAUAACUUCGGGAAACCGGGGCUAAUACCGGAUAAUAUAUUGAACCGCAUGGUUCAAUAGUGAAAGACGGUUUUGCUGUCACUUAUAGAUGGAUCCGCGCCGCAUUAGCUAGUUGGUAAGGUAACGGCUUACCAAGGCGACGAUGCGUAGCCGACCUGAGAGGGUGAUCGGCCACACGGGAACUGAGACACGGUCCAGACUCCUACGGGAGGCAGCAGUAGGGAAUCUUCCGCAAUGGGCGAAAGCCUGACGGAGCAACGCCGCGUGAGUGAUGAAGGUCUUCGGAUCGUAAAACUCUGUUAUUAGGGAAGAACAAAUGUGUAAGUAACUAUGCACGUCUUGACGGUACCUAAUCAGAAAGCCACGGCUAACUACGUG